rnacentral:rRNA from 1 species
AAAUUGAAGAGUUUGAUCAUGGCUCAGAUUGAACGCUGGCGGCAGGCCUAACACAUGCAAGUCGAGCGGAAACGGCAGCAUUGAAGCUUCGGUGGAUUUGCUGGACGUCGAGCGGCGGACGGGUGAGUAACGGCUGGGAACCUGCCCUGACGAGGGGGAUAACCGUUGGAAACGACGGCUAAUACCGCAUAAUGUCUAC